GCCAGGGUGGGCCACAGGGCAGGCUGUCCAGAGAGACCACGCGCAGCCUCAGCGGGGAAGAGGACACCCGGGGAGCCCUGCCUUCCCUUCCUGGUCCAGCCACCUUUCCUCAAUACCAAGUGGGAGUCACUUGGAGAACCACUCACCUGCCGCCUAGUCCGGGGCCAGAGGGGCAGCACUGACAGGCCUCCACGUCCGGGCUCCAUCUCUGUCAACACCAGGAGCUCCCAUCAGCUGUAGUGGACCUGGUCCCCCACCCUCAUUUAGAGCCAGCUCGGAACAUUAAGAGUCGAGUUCUCCUUUGUGCAGGUUAUCCUUCCACUUCAGCUUCUCGAGGUGAGGGACAGGGGCUUGGGCAGCUGGACUCAGCCCAAGAGAAGUGGCUGCAUCAAGAGCCUAUGUGUUGGUGCUUUGCACCUGUUUCCUCUUCCUGAUCUCACGACUCCAUGGGGUAGAUGGUAUAAUCCUCAUUUUCCAGACAAACAAGACAAACAAGGCUCAGAGAAGCUCAGCGAUUAUCUAAGGUCCCAUACAGCUGUGCGGGGAAGGACGGAACCUUCCUACUCUGUGCUGCAGGGCUAGAGCGGCCAGAACUGGCUGGAGAAGGGAGGAGUUGGACACCCUCGAUCUCACAGAGAACUUUCUCUCCUUGUGGAAGAAGAGGAAGUUGUGGCCGGGAGAGAAUUAGGAUGCUUGCUGGUUGACCCGAGAUAGCUGAUGACAGUGAGGCCCAGGCUUCAGCCUGUGCUGCCCGCCCAGCACCACUGCACCUUGCUCCUCUAUGACCUCUAUCUGGACUCAGAGCCGACUGACCACAGAAGUCCUCUCUUCUGACCACAGAUGUACCCUCAAGAGCCGGCAGAUGGUGGGAGGCGAUGAGCCCUCUAGGACAAGGGGCCUGGGCCAUGGCUCCCUAUGGCCACCAGGGGGCAGCAUCUGCCAAGCCUGUGGACUCAAAGCGGGGUGGGCUUUUCUGCUACCUUCAGCCAGGUUCAGGCCUGAGCAACUCCCACAAGGGUGAGCCAGGCUUCUACACCAUCCUGGUUGGUCUCUGAGAGCUGAGCCGCCCUGAGAGCUGGUCCUGGCCUAUUCCCCUUCCAGCUUCUUCUGGAUCUGGCAUCCCGGCCCUGCUCCUAGAAGUUUCCGCCAUGAACCAUCCUUCCUGAGCCCAAUCAGCCUUUCAGAGUCCCACCAGCUUUUGUGAGGACACACUGCUUGGCACUCCCAAACACCCCUCUGCGGCCCUGGAGCCCUCAUGAGCCUUCACUAGCGGGCCUGCUCCUGGGUCCUAGUGGUCAGCUCCACCCCCAUCCCCUAGCACACAGAAUGUCUGCAUACAUGUGGACCAGACCUCCUCCCUAGACCUCCCUGGUGUGGUUCUUCAGGGCCAGGUGUGCUCAGCUAAUGGAAUAAAGGCCUGAGGAGCCA